AUUGAACGCUGGCGGCAGGCCUAACACAUGCAAGUCGAGCGGAUGACAGGAGCUUGCUCCUUGAUUCAGCGGCGGACAGGUGAGUAAUGCCUAGGAAUCUGCCUGGUAGUGGGGGACAACGUUUCGAAAGGAACGCUAAUACCGCAUACGUCCUACGGGAGAAAGCAGGGGACCUUCGGGCCUUGCGCUAUCAGAUGAGCCUAGGUCGGAUUAGCUAGUAGGUGAGGUAAUGGCUCACCUAUGCGACGAUCCGUAACUGGUCUGAGAGGAUGAUCAGUCACACUGGAACUGAGACACGGUCCAGACUCGUACGGGAGGCGGCAGUGGGGAAUAUUGGACAAUGGGCGAAGGCCUGAUCCAGCCAUGACGAGUGCGUGAAGAAGGUCUUCGGAUUGUAAAGCACUUUAAGUUGGGAGGAAGGGCAGUAAGUUAAUACCUUGCUGUUUUGACGUUACCGACAGAAUAAGCACCGGCUAACUCUGUGCCAGCAGCCGCCGUAAAAC
rnacentral:rRNA from 1 species